UACGUAGGGUGCAAGCGUUAUCCGGAAUUAUUGGGCGUAAAGAGCUCGUAGGCGGUUUGUCGCGUCUGCUGUGAAAACUGGAGGCUCAACCUCCAGCCUGCAGUGGGUACGGGCAAACUAGAGUGCGGUAGGGGAGAUUGGAAUUCCUGGUGUAGCGGUGGAAUGCGCAGAUAUCAGGAAGAACACCUAUGGCGAAGGCAGCUCUCUGGGACGGUACUGACGCUGAGACGCGAAAGCGUGGGGAGCGAACAGG
rnacentral:rRNA from 1 species